rnacentral:rRNA from 1 species
UCGCUACAACUAAUUGGGUGAAUUAGUGAGGCGUUUGGACCGGAACCAUAGCGGUCUCACGACUGCCUUGGUCUCUGGGAAGAUCACCAAACUUGUUCAUCUAGAAGAUGUAA